rnacentral:rRNA from 1 species
AGUGAACGCUGGCGGUAGGCCUAACACAUGCAAGUCGAACGGCAGCACAGUAAGAGCUUGCCUUUACGGGUGGCGAGUGGCGGAUGGGUGAGGCAUACAUCGCAAUCUACUUUUUCGUGGGGGAUAACGUAGGGAAACUUACGCUAAUACCGCAUAUGAUCUACGGGUGAAAGCAGGAGAUCUUCGGACCUUUCGCGAUUGAAUGAGCCGAUGUCGGAUUAGCUAGUUGGCGGGGUAAAGGCCCACCAAGGCGACGAUCCGUAGCUGGUCUGAGAGGAAGAUCAGCCACACUGGAACUGAGACACGGUCCAGACUCCUACGGGAGGCAGCAGUGGGGAAUAUUGGACAAUGGGCGCAAGCAUGAUCCAGCCAUACCGCGUGGGUGAAGAAGGCCUUCGGGUUGUAAAGCCCUUUUGUUGGGAAAGAAAAGCAGCAGGUUAAUACCCCGCUGUUCUGACGGUACCCAAAGAAUAAGCACCGGCUAACUUCGUG